GGGCACCGGGCACCAGCGCUCGAUUUUCCGAGUCCUACUUUCUUUUCGGAGCCCGCUGGGAUAUGUAGUUCCUUCUCUCGUCGUCCAACUCUGGGAGCAAACGUGACUUAAGGAUCUAAAACUACAAGUCCCUGCAUCCCCUGCGACGAAGGCGGUGAGGCAAGGUACUAGGCUUUGUGGUGCUCGGCGUUUGGAGAUCAACAAAGACAGCUUUGGAAAAGCUCAAGACAAGCCCGGAGUCACCCACUGCACUGUCUUCAGAUUCGGUCCCCUUUGACACAGACCGCUUCCUUUCUUUGAGUUCCUUCGUCUCAGAAUCAUGGCGGAGUACAGGCCGUGCAUCUUGAAAACACGGAGGUUGUCGGGAUGUCUCCUUAUUCAUUCAGGAUUCUCAGCAAUAGCCUGAUCACUGAAUACAGAAGGGGAAAGCAGACAUCUGAUAACUGCAUGGAAAUAAAAUCUGAAGAUCACUCCUUCUAGAGGUCAUGCCACUGCUGAAUCGUGUUCGCUAUCCCGCACUACGGCACUCGACUGCUGGUGUAUCUGUGAAGUGUUUGCGAGUGGAUCGAGCUGCCGCUGCUGACCUGUGAACUGACCUACUGAUUUCCUGACAACACAGAUGGAAUUUGCUCCAAAGAACCUUUCUAAACAGAUUCUGGCCAAGCAUAAGCUUGCUCUCUGUGUCCUCCGAGGCUCCGCACGCCGCUGCCUUCUGAUGGGCCACAGUUUCGCCGGCAUUCUCUGCCCACCUCCAUUGCUGAACAGGCUGGACCCCGACUCACAACUGUAUGACUGCCUUGUCUCUCCAUCUCCCGCACUGGGCCAGGGCGGAGACCUGUGGCUGCCCUGCCUGCUGUCUUUCUUUCGAAUUCUAAUGUGAGAAGAGGGAAGUGGAAUAAAGAAGCUAAUUCUUGGCUUUGCUAACUG
rnacentral:lncRNA from 1 species